rnacentral:rRNA from 1 species
ACGUCAGAACUGUUUCGGUCUUCCAUCAGGGUUUCCCCUGACUUCAACCUGAUCAAGUAUAGUUCACCAUCUUUCGGGUCACAGCAUAUAUGCUCAAGGUACGUUCCAGUUAGAGGCAUAAAUAAUAUAAAUAUCAUUAUACAUAACUAUAUAGAACGCCCCGGGAUUGUGUUAAUUAAUUAUAAAUAAUCAAAAAACUAAUCCCAUUAAUAGUCAAGUUAAUUACGCUAUUAGGUUU